AUUGAACGCUGGCGGCAUGCCUAACACGUGCAAGUCGAGCGGAUGAAGGGAGCUUGCUCCUGGAUUCAGCGGCGGACGGGUGAGUAAUGCCUAGGAAUCUGCCUGGUAGCGGGGGAUAACGUCCGGAAACGGGCGCUAAUACCGCAUACGUCCUGAGGGAGAAAGUGGGGGAUCUUCGGACCUCACGCUAUCAGAUGAGCCUAGGUCGGAUUAGCUAGUUGGUGGGGUAAAGGCCUACCAAGGCGACGAUCCGUAACUGGUCUGAGAGGAUGAUCAGUCACACUGGAGCUGAGACACGGUCCAGACUCCUACGGGAGGCCGCAGUGGGGAAUAUUGGACGAUGGGCGAAAGCCUGAUCAAGGCAUGCCGCGUGUGUGAAGAAGGUCUUCGGAUUGUAUAGCACUUUAAGUUGGGAGGAAGGGCAGUAAGUUAAUACCUUGCUGUUUUGACGUUACCAACAGAAUAAGCACCGGCUAACUUCGUG
rnacentral:rRNA from 1 species